rnacentral:lncRNA from 1 species
UAUUGUUAUUUAUUGUGUGGCGGUUGCAUGCUGUACUCGCGGCGGCCCGGCCCUCGCCUGGGAGUGCGUGUGUGCGCGCGUGUGUGCGCGAGUGUGUGUGUGCGCGGGGUGCGCGCGCGGGCGGGAGUAGGCACGCGCGGGGAAAGGCCCGAAAACACCUUAGUUUGCACCGAGAGACCAUUUGGAGCGGAACCCGAAAGUUUGCAAGAGGAAGAGAGCGCGCGGCGAGCGAGCGGGAAAGGGGUAGCGGCCGCGGCUCCGGGGACCAUGGUGCUGCGGAAGCCUCCUCCGCGGGCGUGAAGGCGGCGCUUCCACUCCCUCCCCGGGCUUCGAGGGGUUAUCACAGUACAGUGAAAGAAACCAACUAUUCAAGUUAACAGUUCCAAAUUAAGCGGUUUAUAUUGCUGGAGAUAUAUCUGAUGAGUCUGCUCUGGGAUCCUCUCCUGAGAUGGGCCUAGGCUGGGCUGCCUGUCCCUAGGCAAGAACAAAGAUCAUUUUAGGGGCAGGUAUGAGGCCUUUGUAAAGCCCUGGAUCUUGCCUCUGAUGCACCACUGGGAGGCAAUAUAGCACAGUGUGAACUAAGUUCAACUCCUGCUUCCUCCACUUCAUUGCUGUGUCUUCAGCAGGUGACUUAACAUCUCUGAGCCGCAAAUUCUUCCUUUGCAAAAGAGACAUACCUACAUCAGAGCACUGUCAUGAGAAGCCCAGUGAGGAAUUAUGGCAAAGACUGAAUGCUGUAUUGGCACGAAGGAAAUGUUGGAGAAACGGCAGCUAUUACUGUCAUCAUUGUGGCUGGCAGAUCCCCCUACUCCUACCUGAGGCUUAGGGCAGUAUUGUUAAGACUAAUUUAGUUCCCAGAAAAGAUGUGUUAAUUGGAUUAUUACAUUUUUCCUGUGUUUACACUAUAUGUACAUGCAUGACUUUGAAAUCUACACAGUUAUAUACUUAUCCAUUGAAUUCUCUCUUUUAAAAAUGUGUAAGAAUUGCAUUUUUGAGUCAUUGAACUAUAAUGAAAUUGUUUUUUCACAGAAAGAAUGUUACAAGUAAUCAUCAUAUAGGCCACCAAAAUGGAGAAUAAUGUAGAAAUGGAAGUUAAGAGAAAACCAAAAGAGAGACCUAAUGUUAAUACGUGGCCAGAAUGCAUAUUUUUAUAGCCUGAUUAUUUAAAAAUACUGGCGUUUGCUUGUACUGUUUAGGGUUGGAUGAUACAAAUGAAGCUGUUUGGGAUUGGAAUAAAUAUUUUUUUGACUAAUGCUAUAACUUGUAGACUUGUAAUCAGGAGUGGCUUAUCAGCAGCUUUUCAAAAUGUGACAUUGUACAUGGAAUGCCCCCAUGGAGGAAAUUGAACGCUCUGUUAAUGCUUUUACAGUUGAAUUCCACACACAUGAAUUAUGACAAGUGAGGCUGACUACAUUGUGGUUUGUUGUGUCUGGUCUGGUUCCUACUUUUAAAGUUGCAGUUGCAUUUGGUCAUUUGAAGCUUAUUUUCACAGUCUGGCCAAGCCAGCAGGGUCUCAGGUCUCUGCAGGGGACAUAAACCGCCUGCCUUUAAGUUAGAGUGCUCAGUAGAUAAGCAUUUCAAGACUUCAUUGCAUCAUACAAAAGGACUUAUGGGCUUAUUUAACAUACACUAUUUGACUUAAUUUAGAUAUUUAAUGGAAAGAAAAGCCUUUUAUUAUCACCAAAGGAAAGAACUGCCAAACAUUUGGAGGCUCAGUUGAAAUAUUGUAACGGAUGUACAGAGUGCAAAUAUAUUUCACUGCCUUACAUAAUGGGGUGUUUAAUAAUAGUUGUUUCUUUAAAUUUAGCACAUGUAUCUCAGACAUUUGCACUUUGUAAAUUAUAUGCUGUGGUUCAAGAAACUCAAUUUUUAAGAAAUUUGUUUUAAUGAAGUAUAUACUCAUAUUUUAAAAUGACCUUCAACUUUGGUUUAUGUUUAUUUCAUGAGCCCAGAUUUGAGGAGUCCAUGCCAGGAAUGAACACUUUCCAUCCUAUCUUUUUUAGUAACAUGAGUAUGAGCAACAGCUGGGUUUGCUGAUCUGAUUGGCCAAGGCGUUCUUGAAUGUGUCACUUGGUAGGCAUCAGUCCCCUCUGCCAGUCAGGGCCAAGGAGCAGUGGGGUGGUUACCUAUGGUCCUGGUGGAGGGGCUACACAUGGAGGUCUAGAAGGAAGCUUUUCCACCUGGUCGCAGUUUUGUGACUGUCUUCUAGAUGCACUGUGCUAGGUAUUAUGGCCAGAGCCCAGGAUCCACUGAUUCUCCAUUUGGGGUCUGCUCCUACUCUUCCAGGAGCUGAGGGACCUUUAUGGGUUAAAUAUUGGUCCCCUCCCUCUCAAAAUCGUAUUGGGCCCCUAACCCCUACUACUACCUCAGAAUGUGACUAUAUUUGGAGAUAGGGUCUUUAGAUUGGCAAUUAAGAUAAAAUGAAGUCAUUAGGGUGAAUCCUGAUGCAGUAUGAAUGGUGUCUUUAUGAGAAGAGACAAGGACACAGACACACAACACACACGCACACACACACAGGACAACCACUUGAAUACAGGGAGAAGAUGUCCACCUACAAGCCAGUGAAGAGGCAGGGCCUAGAAGGAAUCACCCAGCCAACACUUUGAGUUUGAACUUCUCACCUCCAGAACAAUGAGAUGAUAAAUUUCUGUUGUUUGAGCCAUUGGUGUGGGGUACGUUGUUAUGGCAACUAGAUGUAGGAGCAAAUCAGAAUCUACCUCAGGGCACAUGCCAUUUGAAAAGUCUAUUCCAUAUUAUAAUACAGUCUUUAAAUAUAGAAAUGAAGGCAAGAAAACCUUUAUGGGGAGAAAACCUAAAAGAUGGACAAAUUCCAUACACAGAGCCAUAUUAGCAAAUUCUGAAGUAGUAAUUGCAGGUGACAUUGAACACUCACAGUGGGCUGGAUUUGUAUCUGAGGUCCUGCAAGUAUUACCUCUUUUAGUCCUCAGCACAUUCUGUGUACUAGGGGCUGUUGUCAUCUCUGACAUGACAGUGAGGGACACUGAGGCAAAGGAGGUUAGUGACAUCCUUGAUACUUUGGAGCCAGCCAGCUGGGAUGCAUAGCAAGGCACCAGCCCCUAGAGCUCAUCCCAGCUGUUGCUUUGCAGCCCUGUGAGAUUGGAGUGGGUGAGAGGAGGCCUGGCUUGGAGAAUCAGAUCUGAGUAUUGGUGAGCAGA